CUUCCUGGAAGUAACUUUAGGGGCAAGGAAAUGAUUUCCUCAUUCCCUAUCUGUCUUUACUACCCUGUUCUGCCGUGUCAUCCAACAUGUCUUCUAGGCCAGGCCCCAUUCCCUGGAGUUAGAGAUGAAUAAAGUUCAGGCCUUGCCCUCCAGAACCUCAUGGCCUUGUGCUGCCUUUGCUUUAAUCUCUCCUCUCCUCUCCCAGGCUCCUGGAGUCCAUGAUCCCUAUCAAGAUGGUCAACUUCCCCCAGAAAAUUGCAGGUGAACUCUAUGGACCUCUCAUGCUGGUCUUCACUCUGGUUGCUAUCCUACUCCAUGGGAUGAAGACGUCUGACACUAUUAUCGUAAGCAGGACAGACAACUUUGGGGGGGUGGCUGCACUAGGUUGAAAGCUGCCUGAGGUACGAUGGUGGAGUGAGACAGGAACAGCCCCUGCGGAAGGCCCUAGGUGAGGCUGAGAUCAGAGGCCUCCUAGGACUAAAUAGAGCCUUCACCCCACAGCGGGAGGGCACCCUGAUGGGCACAGCCAUUGGCACCUGCUUCGGCUACUGGCUGGGAGUCUCAUCCUUCAUUUACUUCCUUGCCUACCUGUGCAACGCCCAGAUCACCAUGCUGCAGAUGUUGGCACUGCUGGGCUAUGGCCUCUUUGGGCACUGCAUUGUCCUGUUCAUCACCUAUAAUAUCCACCUCCACGCCCUCUUCUACCUCUUCUGGCUGUUGGUGGGUGGACUGUCCACACUGCGCAUGGUAGCAGUGUUGGUGUCUCGGACCGUGGGCCCCACACAGCGGCUGCUCCUCUGUGGCACCCUGGCUGCCCUACACAUGCUCUUCCUGCUCUAUCUGCAUUUUGCCU
rnacentral:sRNA from 1 species